rnacentral:rRNA from 1 species
AUUGUCUUCAGGUGUGCAAGCCAGUUACUGGGCAAUGCUUGACGAGGGACGGAUAAAUGCAGCUACAGCCAAUAUUUUGAUGCGAUCAGUUGAUGAAGCUAUGUAUCUUGUUUCUAGCCGGCCAUUAUGCGAUUGGAACAGUUUGCAGUCCAAUGUCCAUUUCCCAAGUUACUACAGAAUGAAGGUCAACAAGACGGGUAGAGGGUAUACCUGGACUUCCUUGGGGAUGUAGAUCAACAAGAGGUGGUAGAGGUCAACAUGAGAAGAUCAAAUAAGAACUAUUUGAUAAUGCACGUUAUUUACAAAAGCCCCAUACCUACCAUAAUUGGGUAAUACUCGUCAAUGUUGUGACUCGGUGCGGGAACAAUUUCUAGGAUGGAUUCGUCGACAUUUAUACCCUCAUUAUGGCCUGUAACACGGUAGUUAUAUGCAAUGUUGAGAUUACACCAGAAUGAAGGUCAACAAGACGGGGUAGAGGUAAACCUGGACUUCCUUGGGGAUGUAGAUCAACAAGAGGGGGUAGAGGCUAACAUGAGAAGCUAGAGUAGAGGUCCAUUUCAAAGUAAACUUACAGGAGGACAAAGCUACCAACUGCUUACAGGAAAAGCUUGAACCUGGUCGAGCUGGGAACAUUGAUAAAGAAAAGGCGUAAUUUAGCUUUGCGUAAAAUUCAGA